CAACAACCGAAAGGAGGUGGUCCAGUGUCUCAUUGUCAUCAGCCGCAGGCAUCGGUGGCCCUGACCUGGAUCGUCGCCUCCGGCUUCGCAGCCUGAGCGCACGACACGGGUCGCCGGGCUGCGGUUCGGCAAUGGAAGGGUCGCUCCGGGAGACCGGGGCGGCCC
rnacentral:sRNA from 1 species